AAUUCGCCCUUAGAGUUUGAUCCUGGCUCAGAGUGAACGCUGGCGGCGUGCUUAACACACGCAAGUCGAACGAGAACGGCCCAUAGCUUGCUAUGGGUGUCAGCUAAGUGGCGCACGGGUGAGUAAUGUAUAGGUAACGUGCCCCUUGGAGGGGGAUAACGGCUGGAAACGGCCGCUAAUACCCCAUAUUCCUUGCAGACACAAGUUUGUAAGGGAAAUGGUGUAUUCCGCCAAGGGAUCGGCCUAUAUCGUAUCAGCUAGUUGGUGGGGUAACGGCCUACCAAGGCUAUGACGCGUAGCGGGUCUGAGAGGAUGAUCCGCCACACUGGAACUGAGACACGGUCCAGACUCCUACGGGAGGCAGCAGUGGGGAAUAUUGGGCAAUGGGCGCAAGCCUGACCCAGCAACGCCGCGUGGAGGAUGACGCCCUUCGGGGUGUAAACUCCUUUUAUCAGGGAAGAUGAUGACGGUACCU
rnacentral:rRNA from 1 species